rnacentral:rRNA from 1 species
UACGGAGGGAGCAAGCGUUACUCGGAAUUAUUGGGCGUAAAGAGCUCGUAGGCGGUCUGUCGCGUCGAUCGUGAAAACUUGGGGCUUAACCCUGAGCUUGCGGUCGAUACGGGCAUGACUGGAGUUCGGCAGGGGAGACUGGAAUUCCUGGUGUAGCGGUGAAAUGCGCAGAUAUCAGGAGGAACACCGGUGGCGAAGGCGGGUCUCUGGGCCGAUACUGACGCUGAGGAGCGAAAGCGUGGGGAGCGAACAGG